rnacentral:lncRNA from 1 species
CUGCAUUUUAAUAAAACAACAAAAUCCCAUUUUAAGUGUAUAAGAAUUUGUCUAGGUUUGUGUGGGUGUGGAGAAGGUGUGGAAGGAAUUCGUCUAGGUUUGUGUGGGUGUGAAGGUGUGGAAGGAAUUCUCUAGGUUCGUGUGGGUGUUAGGAAGGUGUGGAAGGAAUUCGUCUAGGUCUGUGUGGGUGUGGGGAAGGUGUGCAAGGAAUUCGUCUAGGUCUGUGUGGGUGUGGGGAAGGUGUGGAAGGAAUCGUCUAGGUUCGUGUGGGUGUGGAGAAGGUGUGGAAGGAAUUCGUCUAGGUUCGUGUGGGUGUGGAGAAGGUGUGGAAGGAAUUCGUCUAGGUUCGUGUGGGUGUGCACAAGGUGUGGAAGGAAUUCGUCUAGGUUCGUGUGGGUGUGGAGGUGUGGAAGGAAUCGUCUAGGUCUGUGUGGGUGUGGAGAAGGUCUGGAAGGAAUUCGUCUAGGUUCGUGUGGGUGUGGAGAAGGUGUGGAAGGAAUCGUCUAGGUUUGUGUGGGUGUGGGGAAGGUGUGGAAGGAAUUCAUCUAGGUUCGUGUGGGUGUGGAGGUGUGGAAGGAAUCGUCUAGGUUCGUGUGGGUGUGGAGAAUGGGUGUGGGGAAGGUGUGGAAGGAAUCGUCUAGGUUCGUGUGGGUGUGGAGAAGGUGUGGAAGGAAUUCAUCUAGGUUCGUGUGGGUGUGGGGAAGGUGUGGAAGGAAUCGUCUAGGUUCGUGUAGGUGUGGAGAAGCUACGGAAGGAUACAUGCCUGGGGGACUGGAAUAGGGGGAGAUGAUUAGCUUUUCCUUUCUGCUUAUUUUUUAUUUGGAAAUAACUGUAAACACAGAAAAGUUGCAAAAAUAAAAACAGUACAAAGAAUACCUAUAUACCCUUUACUCAGAUUGACGUGCAUUCCUUCCUUACCUACUCCUCUCCUCCUUCCCCCAUUCCUUCCUCCAUCCCUGUCUCUUUCACUCAUAAUUUCUGCCCUGUAUGUGUGCAUACACACACACGAACACACACACGCGCGUGUGGGACAAUGUCCCAGUUCCUGACCAAGGCCUUGUGUUUUUCCACUGUCUUGUGCCUCUACUAUUGCUGUGGGAAAGCAUUCUUCUGGUGCCUGUUGUAGUGCUGCCAUGAGACCAGAAGGAACAUGUGUGAGGCAAACCUGAGCCCAUCAGCACAAGAGCUAAACCCAGCAGCACACAGAUUGUGAGUCUUUUUUUUUUUUUCUGUUUUCUUUUUUUAAGACAGGUUCUCUCUCUGCCACUCAGGCUGGAGUGCAGUGGCAUAAUCAUGGCUCACUGCAGCCUUGACCUCCUGGGCUCAUGUGAUCCUCCCACCUUAGCCUCUGAAGUAGCUGGGACUACAGGCACACAUCACCAUGCCAGGCUUUUUUUUUUUUUUUUUUUUUGUAGAGAUGGGGUUUCACCAUGUUACCCAGGCUGGUCUCGAACUCCUGGGCUCAAUCAAUCCACCCACCUCAGCCUCCCCAAAUGCUGGGAUUACAGGCAUAGGCCACCAUGCCCAGCCACACACAGAUUGAAUUAGAGUGGCCCAACCAAAUCCUGCCAACCUGUAGACACAUGAGAAGGAAAUACCAAUUGUUGUAGACUGAGAUGUUUGCAUUUGUUUGUUAUGGAGCAAUGACUGACCAAUACAGUUGCUAACACUUAUAAAGCACUUACUUUAUGCUAUAGAGUGCUGUAAGAAUUUUGCUUAUAUUAUCUAAUUUGAUAUGCAACAAUCCUUCUCACAGAUGAGGAAAUUGAGACUAAGUCAGUUGCACAAGGCCACACAGCUAAUAAGCUAACAAGCUAUGUGACUAUGGGACACACUGCCUCUGGACAUAUGCUAGGUGAGACAAUAAUUGAUGGUGGGUUAAACCAGUUUGAGUUGGCAUUUCUAUUACUUGCAGCCUAAAGCAUCCUACCUAAUUCAGCUGUACAGCCUUCUUCCUACCUCACCCCUCCCUUCCUUAUCUCUAGCCCUGGGGAUUUUGAUUACCCUGGGGAGAAGCCUUGCUUUGCCCAAACAUUAAUUUACAC